AACAUAAAGGCACAUUAUCAAUGCAAGAGGUAAAAAAUAAAAAAAAACUAAAGAAAAUAAAAGAAAGAACAAAAAUAAAUAGAUAAAGCAAUAAGAAGAAAAUAAUAAUAAAAAGUACACAAAAGACAAAAACAAACUAAAAAUUGGGGGUGUAGCUAGAAAAAUGCUCUAGCUCCAAAGGAGGGGGAACCCACAUGGGUAUAUUGAGCAAUUAAGGGGUGUGGGAAGACUUCAUCUUUCCCAACCCCACACUUGAUUAUUAUUCUCAUAGCAACAAAAAUGUAAAAACACCAUAACUUUCUCAAUUUUUCAUGGAAUUAAGCAAAUAAAUAAUGAAAAUUUAUCUACUCAAUCUCAGGAAUAUAAUGAUAUAUUCAAAAUCAGAAAAUAGCACAACAACAAAAUUCGAAAAUCAAUAA
rnacentral:lncRNA from 1 species